rnacentral:misc_RNA from 1 species
GAAAUGCGAUAAGUAAUGUGAAUUGCAGAAUUCCGUGAAUCAUCGAAUCUUUGAACACACAUUGCGCCCUCUGGCAUUCCGGGGGGCAUGCCUGUCCGAGCGUCAUUACGCACCCUCAAGCCCGGCUUGUGUGAUGGGCCCCGGCGUCUCGUUCGCGAGACGGGCCCGAAAGGCAGCGGCGGCGUCGACCCGAUGAGCCCGAGCGUAUGGGGACUUCUGUCACACGUUCGCGGUGCGGACCGGCGCCUGCUUUGACUUUUCUGAUUAUCCAGGUUGACCUCGGAUCAGGUAGGGAUACCCGCUGAACUUAAGC